UAUAUAUAUAUAAAUCUGUGUCUAUAUAUAAAAUAAAGCUACCUGUAAUGCAGAAGCAUUGGAACUCAUUUUGAAUAGUUUGAAUGUUUUCUUAUGUAAUCUCUAAAAUGAUAUUUGAGGAAUAAGGAUAGGUCUUCUGAAAGGCUCUAAAAACAUAGACAUUGAUUUCUAAAUAGUCAAAACCCUUUAUUUCUUAGUUAACUAAUUCCUGAAGUUGUAUAGAACUCAAAUUUAUAAUUUUUAUAAACUAAAAAGAAGAGGGCAUAAUUAUGGGAAGAAAAUAUGAAAGCUUAAAAUGAUCACAAAAGUGGAAAAUUAUAUCUUUGGGAAGUUAUAAAAUAACCAUAACUAAUUAUGUGAAUUAAUUCCGAUGAGAAUAUUUCAAGGAGGAUUGUUCUUUAGAUUAUUCUUUAGCAAGAAGACUUGAACAUAAAGCCAAAUUCCUCACAACAUCCUGCAAAGAUUGUCAUCACAAGUCAGAGACAGAGGAAGUAUGGAAACAUUUUAACAGGCAUAUAUAUGAAAGUUAAAUGUACACCCAGCCUCAAAAUCAGGAAGACAUUAGUGACAUGUCUGAAGAAGACAUUCCCUAAUAUUAUUGCAAAUUAAAUAAGAAAAGACCUCAAGAGAAUGAAAAGAGAAAAGGUGCCUGGAGCCAAUGAAUUACAAUUGACAACCUAAAGGCAGUUGAAGAACCAAUUGCUGGAGUGAUUGCAAAGCUAUUCAUAGUGUGCAGCAGACAGAGCAUACCAGAAAGCUGGAACAAUGCCUUCAGUUCAGCAAUAUUGCUUCAAAAGAAUGGAAAGAGGGGAACGGGAAGAGCCACUGACCCUGAGACCAAUUUCCAGGCAGCUGCACAAACUAUAUACUGUAAUUAAAGGUUUUGACCAGUAAUCACAGCAAAGCCAGACUACAGAAAGUCUAGGGAGUCAGCGAGGUUUAUAAUGAGGCAGAUAUCCUUAACUAAAAGUGUGGAAAAAGCAGGUAAGAAAACCAGUCCAUUUUUGGCAGUGACUUUGAGAAGCUCUGCUGUGUUAACACAAAUAUGAAAAUCACAUAUUUUUGGCCUUCUUCCUCUAAGAACAAAAACGUGUAAUCAAAGAUAUCUGCUUUCAUCUUUUGAGAUGAAUAGAAUACUCUGCUCCUUAGUACCUGGAAUUUUCUCCUUGCCACUUAUUUUUCUUUACCUGUGAAUUGCCUGUGCCUUUUGGGAAAACAGUAAGCCAGGCACGUGCAGUGGUACAGACAACAGACUCCCACUUAGAAGUAGCUACUCUUCCAGGAUACAUGGGCUUUGGCAGAAAUGAACUAACCCACACCUGAGUUCUUUGUCUGUAGAACCUCUUUUUCCCUUUUGUUUACUGAUAAUGUAGAAUCUCUUUCUUUCUUUAGUAGUAUCUCUACACAGAUGUCCGUGUUCAGCUACCACUCUUACUUAAAUAUUCACAUAGUACUUUGAAUGUUUAUAUCUUGAGUAAAGGGGAAUCUAGUGGUUUUGAAUAAAGGCAUGAUACAAACUUCCAAAACAAACAAGAAGGUGUCAACAUGAGUCCAGUGAACACAAACGACAUCUCAUUUUGCAGACACCACGUAGUUCUCUCCUGACUGGCCUGCUAAGACCUUUGCUGUGUUUGAUGUCACAGUAUCCAGUAGUGGAAUGGAAAUAGUCUUCUCGGCUAGAAAUUCUGAAAUUGUAAUUUGUACACACGUUAAUCGUUGACAAAAAAAAAUGACAAGUUUUCUACUGACUUAUAAAGGAGGAGUCAAGUAAGGUUUCAUUUUAUUUUAUUUACCCUUAUCACAUAACAUAUUCCAGUGUCUGAAUUCCUUGUGUUAAGGGUGGUGUGCCUAGAUUGAGUUUACUUUUCUUCUACACCUGAAAUAAGAAUGCUCCAUAAAGAGUGUUCAGGCAGUAAACAGACGAAUAAAGUAACCAGAAUUGUUUUUGUAAACAAGGGAAACCAGCUAAACCUUAUGGGAAGACGGUUCUGCAUAUGAACUGUGAAAUAAAUUGGAGGUUGCCUAGAACAACAAAAUUGUAACGUGUAAGAAUUUGUAAAAUAUUUUUAGAACUAUAGUGAUGACUAAUAAUUUGUCAAGCCAAAACAAGUUUUUAUUGAAAGGGGCCAGAGUGGAAAAUCUGGGUAACUUGUGUGUAGUUUAGACAAGGAGAACAAAGAAAUAAUGAAAUGAAAAUAAGACCUUGGCAGAGGAAUGCUUACAGAACAGCUGACUGAAGACUUACAAUUGUUAAUGGUGCUAUAAAAGACAGAUAUUUUCUCAUCAUGCUGUAGCAUAUCACAUGGAAGACAAGACUGAAUAAUUACAAGAUCCUGAAAAAUAGGCCAAAAAAAGAUGUUGAGAUAAAGGUAUAAUUUAUAUGCACUGAGUAGAAUCGUUAUUAUGGUUAUUGACAUUAUGCAAAAGCAAAUCAUUGUGCCCAAAUGGCCUAAUUUUCUAAAACAUGAAAACAAAUUCUUAAGAAAGAAUCUUUCUCUGAUUAUAUUUAAAGACUUACAUUUUACUCUGUUCUAGAAUAGUUUCAUUUAAAAUGGUACUUGCCAAACUUCUUGAAAAGGUUAGGUCUAAAUAUUUGAAUUAUUUAAAUGAGUGGGUAGAGAUUCAUUAAGUGUAAAAAUGCUUGUGUCUACAUGUUUGGGGCAAUAAAAAAAGAUGUCAAUUUCCCAUAUUUUUAUAUGGACUUUGAUGUUUUUCUUUAAUUAAAGCUCAAGUUUGGACAUCUUUCUGUUUUUCCUUAAUUAAUAAUGGCUUUUUAAUGACUUUUAUAUUAACAAGCAAAUUAAGCUUUUUUUUUUGUUUUGUUUUAGCUGAAAAAGGGAAAACAGCCUUGAAGGUAAAACAUAAGAUUGCCAGAUUGCUUGAGCCUGUUAGAGUUAACAGAAAUUUUUUAUUAAUAUAGUUUUCUGCUCAGCACAGUUUUCUGCUCUAGGGAAAUAGUCUUUAAUGAUUCUUAUGUGCAGUGCCCCUUUAAUUAUUUAGAACAUUGGUUCUAGCAGUGUAGAUGCAGAAAGUAUGGAAUAUUUUGUUGAAUUUGUACUAACUUCAUAUCAGGCCCAAGACAUUGCUUUUUUUUUUUUUUUUUGGUAAAACACUUGAUACAGAUCUGUGUUUUUGUAGUUUUAUCUGUUAAAAAUGGAAUAUAAAAAUUGUAAUUCCUUUAGUACUUGUUCUUUUUUGGAUUCUAGUUAGUCAAGAUUUUGCCAUAUGGUUCUGUAGCCAUAGUAAAGCUGAACUGAAAAAUGUGUGCUAUUAAAAAUGUCAUAUUUCUAAGAUGUUAAAGCAAGAUAUGACUGUAAUUGCUGGGUUUACUUUCACUGAAAUUAUUUUCGGAAUAACAUCUCUUCUCCAGCUCUGCUCACAAAUAUGUACAAAUUUGUAACGAAUUAUGGUUGACAUUACUUGAUCCAUUCUUUGUCAAUUAAGAUUAUGUAACUACCACCCAAUGGAUGUCUGUCGUUCUCAUUUGGAUCUCCAUGGAGUAUGACAUAAUCUUUAAAAAUCCAUUCAUUUUUAAGUUUCAAAAAUCCAUCUCAUUUAAAUUAACCUGAAUGACAAAGCACGUGGUAAAUUUUAAACAGGUACAAAACGGUGUACAUUGAACAAUAUUCUGUUUUUUUCAUGUGCCCUGGUCUGCUGUACUUUAUUAUUUUUUUGUUUAUUUUUGAGAGAGAGAGAGAGAGAGAGAGAGAGAGAGAGAGAGAGACCGAGUGUGAGUGGGGGAGGGGCACAGAGAGAGGGAGACACAGAAUCCAAAGUAGGCUCCAGGCCCUGAGCUGUCAGCACAGAGCCUGACACGGGGUUCGAACCCAUCAUCCAUGGGAUGAUGAGCUGUAGUCAGACCAUUGACCGAGCCACGCAGGUGCCCCUAGUCUGUUGUACUUUAAAGCUCUCAUCCUUCAACCUAGCUACUUGCUCAGGAGACUUUGAAGGUGAAAAGAUUAGAAACACCAACUUAAUGAAUUUUGUUUAACAAUAUGAAUGUGGACCGUAUAUUAAUGAUGUAAUUAUCUUAAAGAUACUUCUAAGACACGUGCAGUAAGGUGCUGUAAUCAUUUCAGGAAAGUUAAUUUUAACACUUUAGUCUCUAGGUUGUUACCUUGAAUUUUAAGCAGUUAUGGGGGGGGAGGUAAUUUAUAGGAACUCCAAUUCUCAUUUCUGGAGAAGGACUUAUUUUGGAAUAUGAGGAUAUGCAUCUAAAAAAUCAUACUUUAUUUUAAUUAUGAGAAACUUCAAAGAUAGAGAUAAGUACAAAAAAUGACAUGACAGUGAAACUCAUCCACCCGUUACCCAGAUUCAGCACAUUUUAACAUUUUACCAUAGUUGUUCAGAUCUCUUCCUUAAAUCAGUAAAGAUGCAUUUUCAAAGCCCCUUCCCUCACUUCUUAAGUGAGUGUAUCUUGAAGUUGGUAUCUUUCCCAACAUACAUUUUUAUACUUCUAAUACAUAUGCAUGUAUCUCUAAGUAAUAUACAGUAAUGUUUUGUGUGAUAAAAAUUUACAUAAGUGGUGUCUUAGAGUGUAUACUUUGUCAUGCUUUUUUCAUUACGUUUUUUGAGCUUAUAUGAUAUAUGUAAAUCUAACUUAUUUAUUUUCAUUGAUAUAUUAUGUUCCAAGGCAUGACUGUGCCAUAAUUUUAUUUAUUUAUUCUUAUUGAUAAACUUUUAGGUUGUUUCUGGAUUUUUGAGAUGACAAACAAAGCUGUUGACGAAUAUCUUUGUACAUGUUUCCUUGUGUAUAUAUGCAAGCAUUUCUAAAGUGUAUAUGUGUCAAAUUGGAAUUGCUGGAUCAUAGGAUACACACACAUUUAACUUGAUGGGUAUUUAACUUGGCACUUUGGGUUUAGAGAUGACAGACAAUAAGGCUCUGAGGUCAGACCAUCUGGAUUUAAAUCCCUCUUACUGUGGACCAGCAGAAUAAUAUUGAGCAAAAACUUAAAUCCAUUUCCUCAUCUGUAAAAUGGGGCUAAUCCUAGAACCUACCUCAUAGCAAAUAGUGAGGAUUACCUGAGGAUUGAGCACACAGAGUACCCGGAUUAACUGCUGGGUCCGUCCUCCUUCUCUGGACAGAAGUAUUAAGAGCAUGAAAUGGCACGUUUAGCUGUGCCUCGGAUACUGUCACGAAUGCCUGUUAAAUACACAGAAGUGAAACAAAAUCCAGUGUAGGGACAGGUAUGUUUAUAUACUUUUGAGAGUGCUUGAAGAAUGAGUUCCAAAUAGGAAAAAAAAAAAAUUAAAGCAAUGAAGACCGUACACAAUGUUACAACUUCCGUUAGAUUAAAUUAUAAGCAAGUUGAUUACUACCAUUCAGAUAGACUGUGUUCUUGUCAAACUGCUUUUCAUCACUAUGCCAACAAGAUGUACUUUCCUCUGCUGUUGUGAGGAAACUGGGAAAAUCCAAUCUUCUGGAGAUUUUGACUUGUGAAACUCGAUACUAAAGUGUGUUCUUUACAAUGUUCCAGAUAGGUCAUUCUGCUUGAAUUUUCUGAUUUGUCAAUUUUGCAGUACAGGUAGUAGCUCUGUCUUAAAGAAAGUAAGCAACUGUAGAAUGUUGUACUUUGCCAAUGCAUGAAAAUGAGGGAGAUGCUUGAACAAGCUGUGGACCUACCUGCAGGUUUCUAGGUUUCUGUGAGGCCUCACAGAAGCCCCGAAAUCUGCUUUUUAUAGUGUGCCACUUGGUGUAUUCUCAUGAUGUGAUUGACGGGCUCGUUGUUUCCUCUUUGAAGGCCCAAGAGGUUACUCGGAUUAUUUUAAGAGUGGAUUCUUACGUUGAGACUUAAAUAGAACGUCCUCACCAAUUCUUACAUUGAGACUUAAAUAGAAUGUCCUCACGCCUUAAAGGUGGAUUAGUUUGCAUUACUUUCAUUGCUUUUCAAGUGUUUUGGGAAAUAUUUAAGAGUCCUCCUAAAAACUGGAUUUCCUGGAGUGUGUUUUCUUUGGGGAGCGAUUUUAAGGAUAAGUUGUAGACUUUUUCCGAAAGCUCAAAAGUUAACAACCAAAAGGUCCCGGUUAAAACAAAUUACUUAAUUAAAAAAAAAAAAAUGGGCAUGAGAGAAAACCCCCAUCGUAUCUCUGCAUCCCUUAUAGUAAAUCAGACCUGUGUGUGUUUUUAACAAAAACGAGGGUGUGCUUCCCGCCCCCCCCCCCCCCCUUCAUUCUCUGUUUCUUUUGAUCAUUGAUCUGGGUGACCCCACGCUCAGGGUUUUUUUUCUUCAUUUGACAUGGACAGAUUUUUGAAGUAUAGCUCUCCUUUGGGAACCCCGGGCAGUUCCACUUGACUAACCUGUGAUCUAAUGAGCAGUAAUGCGGGGUUACAGUGGCCAUUUUGUGUGCUUUGAGGAGGAGGAUGGCUAGACAGAGUGGGAGAAAGGCGAGGUCUGCGGAGAAAAGGAGAGGCAGGGUGAUCGAACAGUGUGAAAAAGACUUGUUAGCCCACAUUAGUUUGCCUGAUUUACUUCACAACAGGUCAGGAAAGGCCAACAGCAUGGUUGUCGUUAAAUUUGCAAAGUUGAAAAUCCGGGUAUUAGAAAGGAUCUCUUUGAGAUCUCAGAGCUAUUAAUUCCAAAGUUGGUUUUAACUCACCUUGGAGUUGCAGCACACAGGGUAGCAUCACACUUUUCUUCGGUCUUCUGUAUAUUUAUGAAAUCAUCAUGUGACCCUCGAUUCUUUUUUUUUUUUUCUCCAACGCUGCAAAUUUUAAACAUCCCGUCGUGGUUGGGCCAUUCUGCCAUGAGAGGGAAGCCAAAACACUGAGCAAGUCAUUGCACUUUUUUAUGCUUGAUGUUCGACUCUUAAUGAGGCGCCCAUGCUUUCCAUUUAGAAAUGUUGCAGAAGUGCAUUUGUGAACUUCUAUCCUGAUAAUCGGAGGAAGCUCUUAAAUUUGUCUCUGCACAUCUACUCUGAUGUACCCUGAUGUGGGUUUGUUUGUGUGAGUGUGCACAUGCUCGUAAGUCGUCCCCGUAGAAUACAGUCAGAGUAACUGAGAUAACCAAAUUAGAUUUCAGCAUCCUUCUUUCUCUGCCUUAAGCUUAAACCAGUAUAUUUUGCAUCCCACUUUUGUUUAUGCCUUUUACAUGAAAGCAAAUAGACGACCUACCAAAAAAUGUCCAGGUUUUUGGAACAUUUCAUUACUGGAGCCUAAAAAUUAUUUUCUUGAAUUUAUAAUCUUUUUCUCUUCACAUUCAGAAGUCUAUAUAUUACACUAAAAACAUAAUAGUUAUUGAUCACAACACUGCUUUUGUUUGACCACCAGUUCUGUAAGACUUGCCAAUAAAAGCCAUCUCGCUGCGGGAUUAAAGAAUAGUUGAUACUAUCAGCUUUUUUAUUCUACACGUGUGUGUGUGUGUGUGUGUGUAGAGAGUAUUUAAAGCCUGUGUUUGAGAUCUAAAUGGAAGUCUUUACAAAUGGCGGACAGUGGCUCAAGCCCCAUAAUUGCAUCUUGCCUCAGGGCAUAGUAUGUAUGUAGACUUAUUCUUCUUUGUGCCAUAAGAGUGCCUAGAAGAUGGACUAGCCUAUGCUUACCGUCUUGGGUCAGGUGCUUUGGCUGUGCUAAGGAGAAUUGUUCAACAGGAAAAAAGGUACGUUAGACCAAAUUAAAGCCUCACACAAUGACCUUAUGUGAAGACUUAUCUGGAGAAACUCCUUUCUUUUUAGAUAUGCUUGCCUAUCUGCAAAUUGGCAAAAGGAAGUUUCCCAAGGAAGAAAGAUACCUUGGUUCAGCAUUUUAAGCAUAUCUUAGUGUUUUUUGAAUUUGAUUAGUUAUCUAACAAAACAACUGUUCAUUGUUGCAACCAGUAUUUUUUGCACACUUGCUCUGUGCCCAAAUACUGUGUGAGGAGAUGCAAAGAUAAAAUAUGGUCCCUUUCUUUCCUCAGGUCACCUACGUAUAACAAAUAACCACAAUAUAUUACGAUAUGAGCCAAUAAAAAUAUGUAAAGAGUACUAUGGGAACACAGGAGAGGCUGAAAUUAAUAUGAACUAACACAUGUGCAAUGUGCAGUGUUUCACCUACAUUAUAUCUGGUAAUUCUCGAUUGUCCUGGGAAACAUGGUUUUACUUCCUUAUGAAAUAGUAAAUUACCCAAGAUACAACUAGUAACCCGAAUCCACUUUCAACUGAAUCCAAAUUUAACUCAUUUGCUCUUUUCACUAUACCCCAACAAUCUUUUGUCAUUGAAUUUAAAAAAUUGAUUUAAAAAAAAAAUUAUCUUGAAGUCUUAAGUUCUUCUCGUGAAUAUUUUUUGCUGCUCUGGACAAGCCCCAGCUGCCAGUUUGCAGAUGAGCCCUUUUUACAAGUGACUUCAAUCAAAAUAAGAGUGAUACAUCGAAGAAACUAAGCCAAGUAUGUUUUUAUAUAUUUGUGAAACAGAAUGACUGUUGGAUUCCAGUACUGGGGGGAGAAAGUCUGCUGAUUUGGGCUUAACUUACUGUCCAGUUCAUCUUUGUUUUUAGAAAUAACACAAGACUGAAUUAGAGAACUGAGGACACCAGAGCAAUUUCUGUAAACACACAACCUCCUCCAUAAGUUUUCCUGACCAUAACCCACCUCUAGCAGCUUUUAGGGCUCCAUUCAUGUGUUUAUAUUUGUCAAUUUUAGAAAUGAGAGACAAGAAGAAAAGCUAGAAAAGAGUCUUUGGAAGCAGAGGAAGCAAGUUAAGACCCAAAACAAUGUGUUUUAUUUGGGGAGUUGCCCAUUCCAAAGAGAACAAUACAUUUUCUAAAUGUAACCUUUUGUGUGCUUGCAUGGGAAAUACCCAUCACAGAGUUAAAAAGGUACCUUUGCAGGGGCACCUGGGUGGCUCAGUUGGUUAAGUGACCAACUCUUGAUUUCAACUCAGGCCCUGAUCUCAGGGUUCAUGAGUUCGAGACCCACUUCAGGCUCUGGGUUGACCAUGGGGAGCCUGCUUGGGAUUCUGUCUCUGCCCCUUCCCCGCUCGUGUAUGCGUGUGCUUGCAUGCACUCUCUCUCAAAAUAAACAUUAAAGAAAAAAAAAACCUUUCCAUUAGAUAAUAGUUCCUUUUUUUGGUACCUCGUAUUAAAUACUUGUGCCACGCAGGUAACAUGUGAUGGAGGAAGGUCAGACUGGGAUUUUAGAUCAAGUCCUCUGACCUCAACGUGGCAGUGGAUUCCUUAAAUGCUCCCUAUCUAUAAAAUGCUGCAGGCCCACUGAAGGAUAGAACACAUUAGAAAAUAACCUCUUAGCUCUCAAAAGAAUUCUGAGUCUUGAUUUAUACCACUGUUGUUUUCUUUGCAUAAAAUAAUGGCACCGUAGAACUUCAGAAAUAGCUGAAUGUUCUUGUCAAGAGGGCUGCUAAUCUACCUUUUAGCGACUUAGCAAACAUUCACUGGGGAAAGGGAUCUGUUUUGAGAUCUUUGAGAUCUUUGUAGGUGCCUAAUACAGCUUCUCAAACAUAGUAGAUGCUCAGUAAAUACUGUCAGAUAAACAGCUUCGUGCCUGUGUGGGGCCAGGCAGUGCACUGCGUAGUGAGUGAGACGGACCAAGUCCCAGCCUUUGCGCACUGAUCCAAGUGGGCAGUGUUCAGAACUGUUUUUUCUUCAUAGUGAGGUAACAGUAACUUAUAAAGGUGGAUAAAUUAGAAGAUUUAAAUAAAAAUUAAUGUAGAGGCACCUGGGUGGCUCAGUUGUCUGGGCGUCCGACUUCAGGUCAUGACCUCACAGUUUGUGAGCUCUAAUCUCAAGUAGAGCUCUGUGCUGACAGCUCGGAGCCUGGAGCCUGCUUCAGAUUCUGUGUCUUCCUCUCUCUACCCCUUCCCUGCUCACACUCUGUCUCUCUCUCAAAAAUAAAUAAACAUUAAAAAAAUUAAAAAAAAUAAUGUAGCAUUUCUAAAAAUGCUCUAAAGUUUUUAUGAGCACCUUAAGAGAAAAUGUUAACUUAUUUAAAAUAUCUAUCUGAAUCACGUGCCCCAGUACCUUUUGUGUUACUGUUACGUUUAUUUGUUGGGAAUUUUCAUGUUUUGCUCCCGAACUAAAAAUCUUUAAUAUUGUCCUGUUACAACAUAAUUCAGGUAUUUCUGCCAUGAUUCUGUAGAAUUCUUUUUUUUCUCUAAACUUUAAGGAAUGGAAGUACAUUGAAUGUAUUAGAGACGUGGCAAUUUCUAAGGAGCUCUAAAUAAGUCUUGGAAACUGGUCAUGGUAGAACUCAGAAAUUUGGUGAACAUCAAGAUUAACUGGUAUGACAUUUGCUAAGGCAGGUGGUAAAUGUCAAAAAUGUAUCUACUGGCCCUGUAUAGCAUAUAUGCAUCAAGUCUUGAGAACCAUUGUGUCUCUGGGGUAAUCAUCUGAAAUGCCUUUCAUCUGUUUUACUAAUUGUUACAUAGACUAAACCCUGUUUAGAAACCUUCACACUGAGACCACACUGAAAACACAUCUGCGUUUAAAGAUAGAUUUUUUUUUUUAGAAAACAUAUGUGUGUAUGUAUAUAUAUAUAUACGUGUAUAUAUAUAUAUACACACGUAUAUAUAUAUAUAUGUAUCCAUAUACACUGGUACUUGAAACAAUUUGUUUUUAUAGCAGACCCUUGAUAUCCAUCAGAGUAUAUUCUAAACUUCCCUUCCAGAGGAGUCCCUUAAAUAUUGUAUAAUGUUGAUACUUAAGAAAGGAAAGAGUAAGUUAGAGCCAUUUUUGUACAUUUUUCUGAAAUUAUUUCCAUAAUUAAUAUUUCAGAUGAGGUUUGACAACCCAGAUCAGUCCUUUGAUGGUUGGUAUAUGUGUAGGAAGCAUUAUUGCACUAGAGACCUUUACACAUACCUUCUGCCUUUGGAUUAUGAGAAUCUGCAUAUCUACUAAAGUAAAUGCUUGCUCUUGAUUAGGGAAAGAUAGCAAUCAGAGUUGCUCAACAUGUGCCAAAGUGUGUGGAGAGAGCCAGAAGGCCCCCGCAGCAUCCUUACCCUGGGGCCAAAUGUUGCCCAAGUCUUUUUAGUUUGUGUUAGACCAGGUUUUGGGGUGCUGGUUUCUCAGAGUGAGCCCAUCAGGAUCUGGAGAACACCCUGGCCCAGGCAUUUGGCCCAAUGCCAGGAUGUCUUUCAUGUUUGAGUUGAGCUAUGGAGCAUGCACCUUAGAACAGAGCAAACUCCUUAGACAAGACUUCUGUGAGCGCUCCACGUUCAACAAUAGGCACUAUUCUCAGUGAUUAUCAAGAAUUCAAUUACGUGUCCUUUUCAACACUAAAGGGCUGCAUCUUUAACAUCAAAGCAAGGCUUUGUGUUUGUCCAUCACUCAUCCUUUAUGAAUACUUCCUUUAUGUCUGCAUUUAAAUGUGCCUAUAAAAUGUAUGUAUGUGUAUGGGAUAUAAUUAUGAAGCAGUUGGAGUUUUUUAAAAAAUGCCUCAAUGUGUAUGAAUACUGUCUCCUAAGCAUAGAUUUUUAAAAUUUAUGACCUACUGUGUUGCAGGAAAAAGUGAUAAAAGCUGAAAUGGUAUAAUUUGGAUCUAUUUUUCUAUUUAAAAUAUAUCUGGAUUUUAAGACUUGUGCCAUUAUAAGAUUUAGCAGCGUAAUUCUUUUAUGCUGAAGAUCGUCUGGAUCCGGGUUAUGACUGAGACCUGGUCAAAGAUCUCUCUGGAAGCCAGCCCAGUAAGGGAGAGAAAAGCUUGCUGAGGCCUGAUACUUAAGUGACCUUAGGAUGAGAGGACAGGAGAAGACAGAAGAGAUGUGGAGAUGAUCCUUUUCAGAAAUAGCGCAAAGACAAAGAGAUUGAUAUUCCCUACAUUUAAGACUACCAUGAGAGUCUCUGUUAUUAUUACAAUGUCUUAUUUCAGCAGUGCCUUUUUUCCCAUUGAAUUAGUCUUCUGGCAUAUGAGCCAUACAAGCAAAACUUUGUGUUUUUGUGUUUGUUUUUUAAUUUUUUUACAUCCCACGCAUGAUCACCUAUUCACUAACGAAUUUUUGCAAGUAUUAUGCAUGUUUGUUUCAUCCAUCCAUUUGUUCAUUUACAAUACAUACUUAUUGAGCACCUGCUUCCAUAGUUCAGGCCAAUGAAUUUUACUCUUUAAAGCCACACAUCUUUGUCACAAGAGGUAUUGACAAGAAUAUGCCAAGGAUUCAUUCAAAAGCCAAAUGCAAAAGAAUUCCAAAUAGGUUUGGGGUAUCACUUGGAAUAAGUACAUAGUAUAGAGCUUCAAAAGGAGAUUACUUUUGUAUGUGUAUUUUAGCCCUAAAAGCUCUGGGGUGAACAUGUAUUGAUUCCAUAUACUAGUGUUAUUUAUUUAUUUAUUUAUUUUUUUAAAGCUUCCUCAGUCUAUCCAUUAGCCACAUGUAAGUAGCUGGAGGCAGGGGAGGGAGAGGAAUGUACGGAAAUGUGUCUGACUUGGGAUGUCUCGUUUUCCAGAAUCCCUGCCAAGGGCUGGCAAGCCCAGAAAGGCAGAGGCUGGCACCAUUCCCUGCCGCUCUCCGCCCUCCAUGGCAUACCCCAUCAGACGCCUGUUCUAGGCGUGACCUAGAUUCCCUAGCUGAUGCCUGGGUCCAGCCAGGCCCGUUGCUUUUUGUUUGUUUGUUUCCUCAUCUCUUCAUCUCAAGUCUCGUUUAGCCAUUAAGUUAAAGAAAUGCUCCAAAGGCCUGUGCCAAAAUGUGUCUGCCCUUCUUCUCGGUGGCACAUGCCCAACUGUCAGUUGACAGGUGGGCAUACCACCUGGGGAACAGUUAACUUCCCACAGCAGAUGGAGGUUUACUGGUCCAGGAGAAGGCCCACAACUGGGUUGCUGGAACAGAUGCUCUGCAGACAGUCUCUGGAUCUCAGUUUUCCUCACCCCCUCUGGCUCCGUCUUCCCUCACUGCACAUGUAGAUGUGAGUAGAGCUUUGUAGCAUUACAGGUUUCCAAACAUAAAAUUUCUCUACUGACUCUCAGGUUUGAGUGACCAUCUACAGGCCUUCCAAACUUUAAGAAAUAAAGUCUGUAACAACAGAGAUGAGUAGAACUCUGGAAUCUUGAAUAGUGACCUUAAAAACAUAGGUUAUGAAAACAUUUACAUCAGCAUUUGCCAAAAGGUGGUUUGGCUGGUGUGGGGAGUGUUGACACUUUAAUUGGCUUUUUCACUGCUCAAUAGCACAAUUUGGGUUUAAAUCUAUUUGUGGUAGAUGGUCACACAUGAAGGUUGUACCUUCCAGAUUUCCAAAGUGUGGAAGAAAAAUUUCCUCUGUGGUUUGAUACAUUUCCUUGUUUUAUUGCAAAUAAUUGAAGAAAUGUCAGUGGAGUUCACUCCUUUCCAACCUAGUACUUAAAAAUUUUAGAGGAAAUUUAAUCUAGUGAAACUUGUUUUUCAAAUAAGAAAAUAAUAGUGUUUUCGUCCUGCCUUUCAGCCAUAAGCCAUCUGCAUUAUGACAAAUGACUCAUCAAUUUUAGUAAAAGGAGUCUACGCUAGCUUAUUACAGCCUCUUGCAGAUGUGUUACCGAUACGGGUACCACGGUAGACUUUUUAGCUCAGCAUUUGAAGGAUUUUCUCCUUUCCAUCUGUCCUCCUCCUUUCCUUCCCUAUUGUGCAAUACACGAAAAAUGAAAAACUGUAUAGAACAUAUAUAUGUAGUUUGAAAGAACAGUACAGCUAAUCCCAGUGUCCUCACAAUCCAUGUCAAAGACUAGACCACCCCGGGCCUUUUCAUUUCCAUGCUUUUCAUUUGAAGAUGAUCUCCCUCUCUCUCUACCCGGAAAUAAUCACUGCCUUGAAUUUUCUGCUGAGUAUUUCCUUGCUUUUUUUUUCACCUGUGUCAUCUAUACAUGGAUCUCUAAAUAAUCCAUAGUGGUGCCUAUUUUGAACUUUAUAUAGACUGAGAACCAUACUAUGAACGUAUUCUUUUGCAAUUUUCUAUUUUUGUUCAAACUUAUCUUCUUGAGGAUCAUCCAUGUUCAUCUCUGAGGCUGUAGUUGAUCUCUCUUAAUUGCUGUGUCCUAUUCCAUCGUGGAUAUAUCACCGUCUCUGUGCUGUUGAUGGACCUUUUCCACUGUUACUUCUGUUAUUUGGAUAUUAUCAAAACUGCUGUUGUGACCAUUUUUGAAUGUAUCUUAUGUAUACGUACAACUAUUUCCCAGUAGUGUAUACCUAAGAACGUAACGAGUUAAAAGUACUAUACAUUUUGGGCGCGCCUGGGUGGCUCAGUCUAUUAAGUGUCCCGCUUGGACUCAGGUCAUUAUCUCACUGUUUGGGAGUUUGAGCCCUGCGUCAGGCUCUGUGCUGACAGCUCAGAGCCUGGAGCCUGCUUCACAUUCUGUGCCUCCCUCUUUCUCUACCCCUCCCCUGCUCAUGCUCUCUCUCUCUCUCUCAAAAUUAAGUAAACAUUAAAAAAAAUUUUAAAAAAAAUUUUUUUUCCCUUAAGUAUGAUUUUGCUCCAGGCUGCUUAUUUAUUUAUGCAUUUAUUUAAAUAAAUGCCUUAAAUCCAGUGAAGGAUGAAGGGCAUUCUUGUAAAAGGUGUCCUUUCCUUUUGUGAAGUAGAUUUUGUUGUGAAUGGACGUGGAACUUUGUCAAAUGGUUUUUUUCAUAAUUACUGGGAGGAUUAUGUGUUUUUUCCCUAUUAAUAGUAGCCUAUUAAUGUGGUAAAUUACCUAAAUUUAUUAUCAACUAGUUAAUCACCUUUGCAUGGUAUUAGAUAUGAUGGCUGCAGAAGAAAUGUCAGAAGUUCUCUACUCUUAAUUAACUUACAGUGUAAUUGAAGAGACAAAACAUGAUUAAAGAAAAGUUAAUAGAUGCCAAAAGGGUAUAUUGUAAUUAUUCGCCACAUUAAUGGGGCUUUGAGUUCAGUUGGCAAAAACCAUUAUGGGCUGUAGUAGGCUGAGCCAGCUUCCUGGAGAGGGUCCUGGAGCUAAAACCGGAAGAAUGGUUGUUUAUCUUUUAGGACACUUUGAAUAGCAUUGCUUUGGUUUGCCAAAUUACCUGCUUUUUGAAGUUUUAACACUGAUUUCAAGUAAUCAUUCAUAUGGGGUCGUACUGGUCAUAUUGCAUUUUGUCAGAAAAACCACCCUUAGGAUCUCCUCUGUUUCCAGCAAAUGUUUUGCUGCUGCCCGGUUUUUUUUUUUUUUUUAAUAUUUAUUUUUGAGAGAGAGAGAGGAAGGAAGGAAGGAAGGAAGGAAGGAAGGAAGGAAGGAAGGGAGGGAGGGAGGAAGGAAAGAAGGAAAGGGAGGGGCAGAGAGAGAGAGAAUCCCAAGCAGGCUCUGCACCCUCAACACAGAGCCCGAUGAGGGGCUUGAACUCAUGAACUGUGAGAUUAUGACCUAAGCUGAAAUCGAGUCAGACGCUUAACCAACUGAGCCAGCCAAGCACCCCGCUGCUGCCCAGUUUUUAAGCCAUUAGUCUAUUCUGAGUUUGCUGCUACAAAAUAAGCUUCAUAGGUAUUUGGACUUUUUCCUUAAUCAACUAUUUGAUUCUUAGAGCUAAUUGGAAAAGAGGACUAAUUAAGAGCAAGUUAAUUGUACAAACAUUCCUAAGGCAUCUACGAUAGGAAAAGAACUCUUCUAGACUCCUGUGUAAAUAACGAUCAUCCUUGCCCGCAGAAAAUUUCCUGUCUUCUACCAGGAAGCUUAAAAUUGUGAGAUUGCCCUGUGCACUUUUGGCUGUGAACAUAAAGUAACUAAAACUUUUUUUCUCACUGGGAGUGAUUUUUGUGUCCAUGGUUUCAAGAGGGUACCUCUACCUCGGAGCACAGCACACUGAGAAAAUUAUUUUCAUGCUAGGGUAAAGGCAGGGACUGGAGGAUGCUUACUUUUCAAUGGCCAAAAUAGAUUAUUUUUCAUUAUUUUUUCUCAAAGUUCUGUUUGUACACCUGUCUUCUGUUUUGUUUAGCUUAGUCUUUCAGGUGUUUUUGUUUGUUUGUUUACAAUUCUUUACUCCACACUUUCUGCCAUUUGAGUCAUACAUACCUACCCCAGUUUUGACAGUCCUAUAAGACCUCCUCAGUCAAUUCUGCUUCCUUCACCAUCUUUUGCCUUAUUUAUAUCCUUGUCCUGACCACUCUUCAGUUUUAGAGUGAGUGUUUUUUUCUUUUGAUCUCCCUGUGUUUUCCUCCAUUAUCUAUACUCAUUAUCACUUUUACAUAUGCUUUCUAGAAAUAGCCAUGUUGGCUGGCGGUGUAUCUUGCCAUAUUAACGUGAAACUUUUAUUUUUAAAACAAAAUUUUUUUAAUGUUUAUUUUUUGAGAGAGAGAGAGACAGUGCGGGGGAUGGGGGGGGGGAAGGGGCAGAGAGCAAGGGAGACACAGAAUCCGAAGCAGGCUCCAGGCUCUGAGCUGUGAGCAUGAAGCCCGACGCGGGGCUCGAACUCACAAACCGUGAGAUCGUGACCUGAGCCGAAGUCGGACACUUAACCGACUGAGCCACCCAUGCGCCCCUAACACGAAAAUUUUAGUGGACGGUGCCUGGGAUGCAUCCUAUUUCUCUGGCUAAUAUCCAAAAAGACAGUGUCUUGAUUAUGCUUAUUAAUAAUUGGAGCCAUUUCAUUUUAUUUCUGUUGGCUGUAGAGUGCUAGCGUGUUUCUGGCUUCCUCCAGUUGGCUUUGUAAAUGUGGUAAGUGCCAACAGGAACAAGUCACAUGUUUAUGUUUUAGCAGACUGGAAUAGUUGUGGCCUGGUAGCCCUGCCAUUCCUUGUAGCUGUCCAGACCAGAGGUGCUACUUCCUGAAAGUAGAGAAUUCAAAGAAUCCAACCCUAACGCGCUUUUGAGUUUUGCUGUUAAGGAGAUCUGGGGUUACGGAUCGCUAAAAAAAAUAGCAAAGUAUCCUGGUUUUGUUUAGAAACUAUGAGACGGAUCCUCACGUUGGCAGCAGUACCAUCUAAGGUUAUAUGAUUCGGAGUUCAAACACCUUUUUUCUGCCUACCAGGUCUUAAAAUGAAAACAAUCUCAGUGUAGCCUUGAACUAAGUUUAUAACAAGUUUUAAAACAGUAAAAUGUUUAUAAAACACUAGCCAAACUAUAAAGAUAUUUGGCCAUCAAAUGUAUUGAGAUUGCAUGUAUACAUUUCUUAUCCCUCCCAUAAAUCUUUGUUUUCUCCUGCUUUCAAAUCCUUGUCUUCUAUGUAUAGGAACUCGAUUCUAAUUUUUGCAAAAAGUAAACCCAAAGCCCACAAAAAUGAAGACCCAACUCAUUGUACUUAUCAUUAGGUUAGUUGCCUUAUUUUUACUUAAGCCAUUCUGAUUUCUUGUUCCUAGCUCAGUGGACUAGUGUAUAUUUUUGUGGCCAAUUAGCAUACAUAUUUCAGAGAGUGUUAGGAUUAACUGAUGAUAAGCAAUGUGUGUGGGGGUUGGAGGAGGUCUUUGCUUCCCCAUUCUGUCUGGGGAGGUCAUAAAAUGCACUGUAGUCAAGUCAUAAAAUGCACUUCAACAAUCAUCACUUCAAGAAACCCCUUCAACUGAAAGCUUGAUGAAAUUUACAUCUGAUGAAUGUGCAUUUGAGCUCCUACUAAAUACAUAUGCAUGAAUUUCAUUUGUUUAAUAGCCCCUUCAUUGCCUAAUUGUCUUUAAGGUUCCUCUCCGGUCAUGAAACAUUUCCCUGAAGCUCCUGUGAGCGGGGAGAGGCUUUUUGCAUUGAUGGAAUUUCAGAACUAAAGAGCCAUAGAGGGGAUUUUUUUUUUUUUAAAGUCUGUAACUUCCAAAGCGAUCAUGUGUCCAAGUAUUAAUUAGACCUGACCUAGAUUACUCUGCCAUAUCCAGAUGACAAGGUCUAUGUGUGAUAUCCACAGCCUCAAGCCACUCAAGGGUGAGCACCAUUGUUUGUAGGCCUGUCUGCCCCCACGAUCCAUUGGCCUCUUAUCUUUUUUUCAAAGCAGUGGUUACCACCACUAGCACUGACCAGUCUCCUACUGAAACCCUUCCAAAGAAUAAUAGAGGUAACUGGAAUGUUUUAAAUGACAAGGACAUCUUUGUAUCCAAGAGUAUAAGUUAGAAAGUGUAGAUCUAAUAAAUUCUGCAGCAGUUUGCAUGUGAAUAGCUAAAGGGAAUUUUAAGAUAUUUUACAUACAAUUGUUGAAUAUGUUAAAUCAGUACUAAUCAAACUGUGGUGAAGGACCAACUCCUGCUCUCACCCCCAAUCCAAUAUGGACCAGUACUUUUCAUCUAUAUGUUCAAUGAGGUAAGACCACAGAUCACAUAUUUGGAGGUCAUAGCUAUGUUAAAUUCCUCCAGAUAGUUCUCAGUAUUCUCAGUUUUGGCACUUAGUUCAUUUGUGGACUGUUCUUGCCCUUCAGAUCACACUUUGAAUAGCAUUUUUCCAAACUAUAGCAAAGGAUAAGGAAAUGAGAUCAAUAGAAGUGAAAUAAAAGAAUAAUAAAUAUGGUGAAUACAAUUAUGAGACUGGUAAAAUGUUAAGUAAAACCAAAGAUUGUUCUGGAUGUAUUUUGAUCCCUGAUAGUUUGCCAAGCACUCUGAAGAUAACAGGGUUAAAACGAUCCAUUCUUUUUUGCUGUUCCCACAUUCUAUAAGUGAAUAGACAAGGUAGGAGUGCCCUCUCAGUUCACCCGAAGGGAAUGAAUUCAGCCUUGCUCAGAGUAUAGUUUCCAAGAUACAUUUGUUCUAUAGUUUCAAUUAAGUGGUUUCUCAAAUUUCAUGAUGGUUUUUUAUUAAAAUCUGUGUAUACAUACACUCAGACAUUAGCCAAAGCAAUAAUAUCUGAACCAUAAAACAGCCUCACUGAGGAUUCAUAAAUACAACCUCUCCCACCCAAUCAUUUUCAAAUCAUGUUUGUCCCUUUAGCAACUUUGCAGAUGAUGUUUUUCAACUCCCAUUACACCCUAAAAAUUUGCUUGGAUGAGUGAAAUCAGUUGCAGUCUUCUUUGCCAGAACAUGGUGCCACACCCUUGGCAGGUAGGCAAUGUUGUCUUCAUGUGUUUGCAGAAUUACUGAGCAUUAGCACUUUGUCCUCCAGAGACCACCCAGCCCUACCCCCUCAGCUUACAGUGCAGUAAUGCCACAGACAGACCAACUCUAGAGGGGAAAUGGCAAUGUCAGAGCUCCCCCUGACUUCACGCAUGCAGGGCCCCUGCAAAAACAAUGGUGGUCUUACAGUCCCUCCCAGGGAGAUGGGGGUGUGAGUGGUGUUGAUGGAAGGGUGGACAACGUGGUGGUUCUUUCUUUUGCACUUUUCUCCUCAAAAAAAAAAAAAAAGACAAAAAAAUCAAAAUCAAAUAGACCACUUUAAGUUACAGCUCCUGGAUCUUUUCCGAAGAAAGUCAACACCACUGUGGUGGCCCCAAAACUAUCCUACUCCUCCACCCCUCUGGGAGUCUCCAGAUCUCUAAGAUUAGAUGAGCCCAAGAAUAGUCUUACCCCACCCAGUCACUCUAUCAGCAGCCAUCUGUGGGCUGAGACUCGGCUCCCAUUCUCGAGUAUUACGGUGUCCUCAGAGGCCUCAUAGACCUCUCGUGGGUUUGGUCACACAAACACAGUGCGCCAGGUCCACUCACUGAGGCUAAUGGUACAAGAGUGUUCCAAGGGCCUGCAGUGCCCUUCACUCCUUGGGUUGGCCAAUUUCCAGAGUUCUUCCUGGAAGGCCUCCUGAUUCCUUUUGAGAUGGGACUCUUCCCAAAGGCUAGGGGACUCAGCCUCUUGGUUCCCAUAGCCUCCUGGCGAAGGGAUAAACACUGACAGUGUGGGGAUUACUAUCCCCACGUAGACCACUCGGUCAUCUUGUCAUCUGUAUGAUUAAUCUCCACAGCCCCCACUCUACUGCAUUAAACUGUAGCACGUGUUUAAUAAAUCUUUGUUCAACAAUGAACGAUUGACCAGGGUGAUUGACCUUUUCUGAAGUGUUGUUGCCCUUUGAGACAGAAGAAAACUCCCCUGUUAAGUGGUACCCAAAAAUCCUUAGAUACUUUGCAGAACUCCUAGUUUGACAUGAUUAGGAUCCUAUGUUACAACUAUAAUCCGGAUUAGGAACUUUUUGAGCUAAAAUUGUGGCCACUCAGAACCAGUGUUUACCAUAUACCUAUUAGUAUUUAUGAUAGCCUUUGUAAAAGCUUCUAAAUAUGGAGAAAAGAUACCUUCCCCUUGCUUUUAGCUGGAAUUAGAGAUAUUUUCUCAUGGAAAAACUUUCGACCUGAAGCAGCAAUAUGUGUCACAUUUAAAUAUAUCCAGAUUCAUCUCAUUGUCAGUGUCCGUCCAGAGUGCAUUUAAUUCUUGCCCAACCAUCCCUACAAUAAGUCAAACAAGCCCUCGGUCCCCAUAGCAUAGAAUGUUCAAGAAAAUUGUGUAAAGAUUAAAGUGUACCAUUGAAUGCAUUCCAAUUGCAUUAGGAGUUCUCCCUUGUUCGAUGAGCCUCCAUUGUUUAAGUAGCCACAGUGGCACUGUGUAUUCGCUACACAAACACCCGGCAGAAAACAUGAGCUUUUCUCUUUCCUUCUUCUCUUUUAAUUGGAAGACAUUUCUCAUGAAAUGCAAUUCUUUGAUUUGUUCUUUUGACAGGAGAAAGACAGCAUGGUUAUUUCUUCCUCGAUAAAUUAAGUCUUAUUGCCAAACCUAACUACUGAGAAAAAGAAACGCACUGUGUGAAAUCCUAACUUUUAGACGCACCACAUUUGCUUACAUAAUCUCCUUUAUUUUCUUCAGAUACUUGCACAUGCAGAUAAUGAAGAUUUAUAGGUCAUCGGUAGUCUCUUUGUUUUUCCCAUAUUUUCAAGAAAGGUAACCGUCCACUCAUUCAGAGUCAGAAAUAAAACAGAACAAUUACUUUGAAUCCAGAUUUGUUAACAUACCCAAUUGUUCAACCGCUCCUAUUUUCUUAAUUUAAUGAAAGGUUUUGAUGAGAUUUGCAUAUAAUUGAAAGGUGAUAUUUGCACAUGGCAUAUUCCUCCCUCUACAUAUUGGGCUUAAGAAGGAGGAGCUUCUCAAAGCAUUAAAUGUACGAGAGCCACAAUUGUUCAGAGACAAACGAAGCAGAGGCUAACAGGAGUGCUGUGGGGACUCAGGAGUAGGUGGUGUUUCUUUAGUGUAUCAGUGGCUCAAAUAAGUAUACAUACCUGUGUUUUCAAAGGUUUGUAGCUUAGCAAUAUAGUGAAUAUUGCUCAUCACCUCAUGGCGGUCAAUUUUUAAAGUCCACGUGUAAGGAGAAAAUCCUAGAGGGUCAAAAUUUCCUCUGAAAAUCUUUUAGGAUUUUCAUACAGUUGUUUUAUAUCCAACAGAGGCAUUUCCCUGUUUCUUCCGUUAUGUACGAGGCGUGGUAGUUCAUUUGCAUUCUAGGGUCAGGUUGAAUAAAAAAUAUUCAGCUUGUUUUUUAAAUGUUUAUUUUUGAGAGAGAGAACAUGAACAGCUGAGGGACAGAGAGAGAGGGGGAGAAAGAGAACCCCAAGCAGGCUCCGUGCUCAGUGUGGAGCCCAACCCAGGACUCAAUCCCGUGACUGUGAGAUCAUGACCUGAGCCAAAAUCAAGAGUCAGACCCUUAACCGACUGAGCCACCUGUGUGUCCUAGAAAUACCCAGCUUUAAAUAUUAGACUCACACACAGAAAUGGAGAUGCUCACUCUAAGAACUCCUGGAGAAUUGAGACUUAUUGAGGGGAUUCAUGUCUUCCUUCUCCAGUGCCAUAAAUGCGUCACAUGAAAUGAUUGUCAGGCACUAUUUUGAUCUGUUCUUUCUCAAGUUGAAUGUUUGUCAUACAGUCCAAUCCUGCUAAUUGCUCCCUGGCUCAUUAGUGGGACACUCCUAGAACUAGAUGUCAAACAAAUAGACUAAAUACUUUUAACUACCUUUUUAGUUUAAAAUUUUCGAACCAAGACUAAGUGGAAAUCUCAAGAGGGUCAGUAACUAAACGUAAGAAAACUUUGUGGUACAUACAUUUUCAUGAAUGACAUACGAUCUGUAUUUUUUGGCAUAUGCCAGGGACUGAAUUGUGUCCCUGUGUCCCCUCAAAGUUCCUAUGUUGAAGCCCUCACCCCUAAUAUGACUGUAUUUGGCAACAGGGCUUUUAUGAGGUAAUUAAAAUUAAGUGAGGUAGGAAGGGUGGGGUGCUAAUCCAGUAGAAUUGGUGGACUUUUAAGAAGAGGAAGUGGGGGGUGCCUGGGUGGCUCAGUCGGUUGAGCAUCCGACUUUGGCUCAGGUCAUGAUCUCACAGUCUGUGGGUUCGAGCCCCACGUCAGGCUCUGUGCUGACAGCUCAGAGCCUGGAGCCUGUUUCCAAUCCUGUGUCACCCUCUGUCUCUGCCCCUCCCCCAGUCUUACUUUGUCUCACUCUGUCUCUCAAAAAUAAAUAAAUAUAUUUUAAAAAAAUUAAAAAAAAAAAAAAGAAGAGGAAGUGGGGCACCUGGGUGGCUCAGUCAUUUGAGUGUCCAACUCUCAGUUUCGGUUCGUGCCAUGAUCUCAUGGUUGUGAAUUCGAGCCACACUUCAGGCUCUGUGCUGGCAGUGCAGAGCCUGCUUGGGAUUCUCUCUGUCACUCUCUCUCUGCCCCUGUCUUCCUCAUGCUUGCUCGCUUGCUCGCUCUC